AGAGUUUGAUCCUGGCUCAGGACGAACGCUGGCGGCGUGCUUAACACAUGCAAGUCGAGCGGUAAGGCCCUUUCGGGGGUACACGAGCGGCGAACGGGUGAGUAACACGUGGGUAACCUGCCCUCAGCUCUGGGAUAAGCCCGGGAAACUGGGUCUAAUACCGGAUAUGACCUCGCAUCGCAUGGUGUGGGGUGGAAAGCCUUGCGCGGCUGAGGAUGGGCCCGCGGCCUAUCAGCUUGUUGGUGGGGUAGUGGCCUACCAAGGCGACGACGGGUAGCCGGCCUGAGAGGGCGACCGGCCACACUGGGACUGAGACACGGCCCAGACUCCUACGGGAGGCAGCANGUGGGGAAUAUUGCGCAAUGGGCGAAAGCCUGACGCAGCGACGCCGCGUGAGGGAUGACGGCCUUCGGGUUGUAAACCUCUUUCAGCUCCGACGAAGCCUUCGGGUGACGGUAGGGGCAGAAGAAGCACCGGCCAACUACGUGCCAGCAGCCGCGGAUAAUACGUANGGUGCAAGCGUUGUCCGGAAUUAUUGGGCGUAAAGAGCUCGUAGCGGUUUGUCGCGUCGACU
rnacentral:rRNA from 1 species